GUAAGACCGGCUAUGCUGUAUGGGGCAGUAUACUGCGCAGACACAAACAGAUGUUGUAGCAAAGCGCUCUAUCUAAAUAACUUAUCUGAACUCAAAACCCAGGACAGAUUGCCGUAGUGGAGAAAUAUUUUGAGAUCCAAAUCCACAUAAAGUGGGAAUGAGCAAAGAACAAGAUGAAGAAGUAAUAAACAAUUAGAUUCAAAAAUCAAACACUCACAUCAAAUCAGAAACACUUGCAAGAAUUGGAAAAGAGUAACAGAUUGGUUUACUUAUAGAAAAAAUGGGUAGUAAAUAUAGUAAUGCACCGCAAGGAACUACGCCUGGAAUAUGUUACAAGAAUUCUAGACCAGAGUUCAUCUUGAUUGUGUAGGAUCUCUCGAAAGGAAAACGUGGAAAAGGAAUUGAAAUUGUAGAAAUGAGACAUAUUAGAACAAAUUUCUAAGUAUUUACAAUAAAAUAUGAUUAAAUUUAGAUAGAUACAUAA